rnacentral:rRNA from 1 species
GAGUUUGAUCCUGGCUCAGGACGAACGCUGGCGGCGUGCCUAAUACAUGCAAGUCGAGCGGACCGACGGGAGCUUGCUCCCUUAGGUCAGCGGCGGACGGGUGAGUAACACGUGGGUAACCUGCCUGUAAGACUGGGAUAACUCCGGGAAACCGGGGCUAAUACCGGAUGCUUGAUUGAGCCGCAUGGUUCAAUUAUAAAAGGUGGCUUUCAGCUACCACUUACAGAUGGACCCGCGGCGCAUUAGCUAGUUGGUGAGGUAACGGCUCACCAAGGCGACGAUGCGUAGCCGACCUGAGAGGGUGAUCGGCCACACUGGGACUGAGACACGGCCCAGACUCCUACGGGAGGCAGCAGUAGGGAAUCUUCCGCAAUGGACGAAAGUCUGACGGAGCAACGCCGCGUGAGUGAUGAAGGUUUUCGGAUCGUAAAACUCUGUUGUUAGGGAAGAACAAGUACCGUUCGAAUAGGGCGGUACCUUGACGGUACCUAAC